rnacentral:rRNA from 1 species
GAUGAACGCUGGCGGCGUGCUUAACACAUGCAAGUCGAACGAAGCACUUUAUUUGAUUUCCUUCGGGACUGAUUAUUUUGUGACUGAGUGGCGGACGGGUGAGUAACGCGUGGGUAACCUGCCUUGUACAGGGGGAUAACAGUUGGAAACGGCUGCUAAUACCGCAUAAGCGCACGGCAUCGCAUGAUGCAGUGUGAAAAACUCCGGUGGUAUAAGAUGGACCCGCGUUGGAUUAGCUAGUCGGUGAGGUAACGGCCCACCAAGGCGACGAUCCAUAGCCGAGCUGCGAGGGUGACCGGCCACAUUGGGACUGAGACACGGCCCAAACUCCUACGGGAGGCAGCAGUGGGGAAUAUUGCACAAUGGGCGAAAGCCUGAUGCAGCGACGCCGCGUGAGCGAAGAAGUAUUUCGGUAUGUAAAGCUCUAUCAGCAGGGAAGAUAAUGACGGUACCUGACGAAGAAGCACCGGCUAACUACGUG